CUCAACAGCUUCGCCUUUAGAGGUGUGGAAAGUCGAGGACCAGGGUUUAUAAAGACCUGCUAAAACUCCAAACUUACUUUACGUCUUUCCAACCCAGUAAAGCCCGUGGGAUUAAAGAUUGCAUACUGUGCCGAUAGGAGCAUUAUACAAUCUGAUCAUAACAAUGGACACCGGCCCUCCAGUUCCUGCGCCCCUCCCUGUCAUUAACUUGCACCACAAUAUAAGCUGGAAACUAGAAUAAAUAAUUUCAUAA